rnacentral:lncRNA from 1 species
UUCUAUCUACUCCAUUUCCCACAGAAUGAGAGUGUGCUGUCUGGUGAAGUAGUCUUUAUAGGAAAAUUUCGUAAUAACAAAUUAUUGUAUUUUCCUAGGUUUGCAUAUAUCCCCGUGGAACACUUUUCAACUAUAAAUGUGAAGUAUUGGCAAAUGAGGUACAGAGAAGAGGAUGGGAAGUCGGUUGUGCAUGGGCUUAUAUGUCUACUUUCUCUGGGAGAUGGAGAUAGAAGAAAUCUUCAAGAUGGCAUGAAAGCCCAGUCAUGAACGAUUUUGUGCCUCUGAGAAAGUGCUUUGUGAAUAGGCCUUUUGAAAUUACUGUGAACAUUGGCAGAGACUGCAAUUCUGCUAUUAAGACCACUUUAUAUCUUUUCUGAAUACACAAGUUAUCUAGCAGCAAUUCACUUCUUUUUAUUGGAAAUAUCAUCUAUGCCAGAGGAGCUUCCAUUUUUCUACCUGGAAGUUAAUCAUAGUGAGAAAUGCCUCUCCGGUUCCUUUUAGAUGUGGCAUUUAUUCAUUCAUAUCUGAUUCUGCAGCUGCAACUUAGACAUUGGUGAGUCUUGGCAGGUAAGCCUCUUCCGUCACCUCCUUCUCAUCCUACCCAGAGGAUUUACACACAACUCUCAGUAAGAGUCCCUGAUCCCCCAGAACUCUUCCCCUGUGUGCUGGAACAAGCUACUUUCUUCUGUAGGUGACCCACAGAGGGGGCAGCGAUAUCUGUCCUUCAUAAGUCCUGGAAUUGCAG